GUCAUGGUUUUUUUCAAAACCAUAUCACAAAGUAAUUCUAAAGGAGU
rfam:Tyto alba contig49865, whole genome shotgun sequence.